rnacentral:rRNA from 1 species
CAGUAGCCGCGGGAAUACGGAGGGUGCAAGCGUUAAUCGGAAUUACUGGGCGUAAAGCGCACGCAGGCGGUCUGACAAGUCAGAUGUGAAAUCCCCGGGCUUAACCUGGGAACUGCAUUUGAAACUGUCAGGCUGGAGUCUUGUAGAGGGGGGUGGAAUUCCAGGUGUAGCGGUGAAAUGCGUAGAGAUCUGGAGGAAUACCGGUGGCGAAGGCGGCCCCCUGGACAAAGACUGACGCUCAGGUGCGAAAGCGUGGGGAGCAAACAGGAUUAGAUACACCAGUAGUCCCUGUCUCUUAUAC